GUUAGAUACAUUUAUUUAUUUGUUUAUUUGUUUAUUUAUUUAUUUAUUCAUUCAUCGUGUAUUUAUAGUAUGUACAAAUUAGUCUCUAACCACAUAAUGGACGCAACAAAUGAAUCUGUGUAUUAUGUACAAAUAUAUAUGAUUACAGAUACAUUGAAAAUGUUCACACAUCAAACACAAAGGUAUGCGUGUAGUUGAAUUUUAUAUGCUGCGUCACAGUUUAAUAUGUAUAGCUAAUACAUAUAGCUUUCUGUCUUUUUACCUUUUUUCAUAUUCUUCAUUUAUAGAAUAUAACUAUGUGGAAUAUAGGAGCUUUCCGACAGAUUAUUUUGAAUCAUGCAAACUCUUUCACCCGGAAAUUGGAAGAUAUCGAUAAAUACAAAAGCAUCAAUUGAUUUUUACAUUACAUAUGAAUAUAUGUUAAAAGGCACUGAACAUACAACGAGAUCGUCCGCAAUGUAAAUGAUAAUAUAGAACACAUAAGUUUACAGGAGCAAUUAAAUAUAACCCAGUGAUGGAUAGAUCAAGUGCCCAUCAAAGAGUUCACAGACACACAAACUAUGAGGGGAAGAAAUUCCAAAUGAAACUCACAAAUUUUCAGAUUUACUUUUCAAUAUUCAAAUUUUCAUAGCAAUGUAAUGGGAGUUUAAUGUACUCAUCGGUGUCCGAGCCCUUGUGGGCAAUUGUCCAUCACUGACGUAACCGAUAAGAAUACUUCUCAUUCCUUCAUCAUUUGAAACGAAUCCAUAGUAUUUCGAAUCAUAACACUAUAAGUGUAAUUACUCGAUACAAACUAAUCAGUUCAUAUUAAAAUAAAAUGAAAAAAAUUCAUCGCAUUUAUAUCUUAAUGGAGAUUUUAGACGAUCAAUAUAUAUUUUCAAUAUCUCAUGGAUCGAUCAAUUAUUGUCAAUAUUUCAGUAUUGUCAAUAAAUAGAGCCCUGAAACAUUAACAGUAUAUAUUGAUUGUUUCAGAUGUCCACAUCAAAUCUAAACAAUUUCAAUACUUUGAAUCUGUAACAUAUCAAACAAAAGUAGACCAUUUACAAAAUUAAUAUUUGAACAUAAAUAUUAUUUGUUAAUUUAGUUAAACAUACCAUGAGCAAUAUUUAUAAUAAAAAUUAAGAUAUAUUGUUUGCAUUUUCUUUCAAAGAACGAUAGCAACGUUGUAAAUGGUUUUUUCUUGGACCCAAAUAUACAAAUUCAUUUUAAAACGACGAAAUGUACAGUGCAUAUGUAAUUAUCUUGCUGGUAACUCGUGUCACAUUUGAUACGAACAUUUUUGCAACUCAGUUCCUGUGCCUGAUAGAUAAACUUCUCUUGUCUCAUGUAGUAUGUAUAUCAGUUAAGAAUAUUGCAUACGCAUACUCGUUAUUUGAAAUUGUACAGAGUAUAUACGAUUACGCAAUUCUCAUAACAGAUAGCUUUGAACUAAAUUAAUCACUGUACUUAACUAGCCGUAAGCAGAACCUUUAACAUUAGACACUUAUUACAUGAAGGUUGACGAAGAAUAGUAGAUAUAUUCCAGGAAGUAACAUGUUCAAGAGAUAAUCGCUUGUAUUUUUAUAAUUUGACAUUUAUAAGAGUUUAUUUUAACAAUUUUAAUGAGAACGUUCCAUUUAAUUAUAUGGUAACAUAAUUUCUUUUCAUUAGUUAAUCCCUUUAAGUUGAACACAAUAAUUCAUCUGUCAUGAUAAGAUUUAUGUUGAAACAAUUAAAUUUGAUAUGAUAAGUUUCAAAAUAGAAAUUCACGUGUAAAUGCACAUGUUACAGUCUAUAAUAAUAAGUGUAAAACUCUUGUACAUGGUUUUCUCAUAAUAAUAUUAUAAAAGAAUAAUUAAAUAUUUGUAAUGCGCAGUUACAAUUAGCAUGAAAUUUCCAUAUAUAGUUUUUGAAAAUUUGUUAAUGUAGUUAUCAUAGACAUUGUAGUCCAGUGCCCACUAUAAUAAACAAAUCUUAUUUACAAAUUGUAGUUUUCUAUUAAAUGUACAUAACAUAACGUUCAUAACAUACGUUAUGUUCGUAGAACGCAGAAUAAUAACAAUAAGAAUUUAGUUAGGAAUGUUAAAACACCAAAUUAAUUGAUAAAUAUAUAUAUAUGUGUAUAACAAAAUCUUUGUCGUCCUUUUUAACAUCAUGAUAAUAACGAUGCAUUUAAUUAUAGUUUAUUCGAUACUUGUCUGCAAAAAUGGUCGGUGUAGUAGUUACAAAUAUUUCAGUAGCAUUAUUUUGUUAUUUCUGUACAUUUUGUGUUUUACAUGAAACCGUUAAAAAAGUUACUAACAAUUAAGUCAUUAAUACUACACUUGUGCGAUAAAAUAAUGCAGAAACUUUUCAACAAAAUUUCAACGCUUAAACAGAAAAAUGUUCAUCCUUGUGAAAAAUGUAAAUAUAUUCAAUACAAUAUAUAUGUUUAGCUUAAAAUAUUUCAUAUAUCUUAAAUACAUAAUCGUUUAAAGUACAACUCAAUACUAAAGAUUAUAUUUUCAUUUAAUAAUCAUGAGUUUAAUAUUUACAAAUAAUUUAUUUUAUUGUACGCCUGGUGGUUCCUACAAACAUAGAGCUUCUGAAUCAAAAUAAAUCUUUCCACUUUCAACAAAAUACGGAAUAGAAUAUUUAUUUAUUUUUGUUAAUGAAGUUACAUUAGAAUUAUAUAAAUUUUGUCUCUUUGCUACAGACUUUUAUUCAGUUAAAAUAAAAUUGACAAAUGAUUGAAUAUUACGCAACAUGUAAUAGUAUCUUUCAUAUGACAGAAAUUAUACCUUUAGACAAAAUAAACAAAAGUGUAUUGUUUUGAAUAAUCAUAUUUUGCCUUUUUCUAGAAACAUAAUCUUUUAAAUUAUAGAAACAAAAAACUUAUUACAGCGUAGUCUCGUUAUAUAACUCUCAUUUAUAUGGCUUGUUAAGCAAAUGUACUAACAGCCCUUCAGGGUCAUAUAGUGAGACUUCGCUAUACAUAUUGUUAAGUUCUAAAAGCAAUGUAUGAAAUAUUAUAACGUAAGAUAAUAAGGGAAGACGAUAAAGUUUCGAACUAUGCAGUAUAAUUAUACAUUAUUAUUUGUUAGGGAUAUCGUAUUUUACAAAAUAAUGUUAAUUUUUAAAGUUUACUUUCUAACUAGUAUUAACAAUGAGUAAAACUCAUUUUUUUCUUUGCAACCGUCUCAUAAUGAGAUAUGCACCAAAUAAGAUGUUUACAAAACUUGCAAUCAGAAAGUAUGUAAUUUACUAUUCACUUGAUUUCAAUGUAACACUAUUAGUGAGGUAAUGUUUGAUGUACCUGAAUUAUAAUCAAUAGAUAAUAUGAAAUGUGUAUAAUUUGAUUUGAUUCCUUGUAAUGUACAAAGCCUUCAUACUCAAUCUUAUAUGCACAAACAAUUUUUCUCUCUUUUGUUUUGUAGAACAGUAUUUAGUCGGUUUCACGAUUUUAAUUAAACUUUCCUGCCUCAUGUACAAAGAUACUGUCAGUCUCUUAUUUUAAAGAUAUUGGCAGUUUCUUUAUGCCCUGAAUAAAAUUACAUACAGAAAUGGUUCUUUCUUCACAUCUAUUUAAAUAUAUCAAUUUUCGCCAUAUUUAUUGAAAUUAGUUUCUUCUAAUUUGCAACACUAGGCCAUAUUUUAUCUAAAUUGCGUCUACGUCAAUCUCUAACGAACGGAAAAGUGUAAUUCUUCAAAAAUUAAUCAGAUAAAUAAUAUGAGAUUUAAAGUUGUUAAAGUAAAAGCAAAACCAAUAACAGUAAUUAAUGUUUAAUUUUGAAAUUUGUCACUUUACAUAGUAAUAAACAAACGUCAUAGAUCAUAUAAUACACAAGUAUUUUUUCGUAGUAGUUAAAAAAUCAGACUUUCUAGGCCUGCAGCCUAUGAAACGGAGUUACAUUAUACAUUGUAUUUCUGUUGGACUUUAAUCUAAUCACAGUUUAUUCUGAUGCAUGAAUUAACGUAAGUUUAUCAGCCACGAUUUUUGUGACGAGAUUAUUAAAAAAAGAACAAACUUCUAAUAUACCUUUUUCCACACAUUCCAAUCACAAUUUUAUCCCAGUAAUACUACCCUUACCCUGGACCAUUUGGAAUCGUUUCACCAUCAAAUAAUCAUAUACUCUAAUUUAAUAAAAUUUGCCAGCACAAAAACUUUUACUAUCUCAACGUUCUUUCUAUUUAAAGCCUUAAGAAAGUUCUAUUUAGUUUACCUCAGCAUUACAAACUAAAUAUUUUUAGAUAGUUCUUUUUAUUAAUCGCUGUCAAUUAUCAUCCUCAACAAUACGUGCAUGAUCAUUGCGAUCCAAGGUAUUGGCGUAUCUUCUCACUUUGUAUUGUACAGGUAUAAUAAUAUACCAACAGUUUAGCGUUUCUUACAUUAAGUUCCAUACAUUUAGUAAAGACAAUGUAUAGAGAGGAAUCAACUUUCAAUUUUUUUUACAUAUAAUCCGUAGCAAUAAUUAAAACGAAUAUUCAAAGCAUACACAUAAUUAGCUAUACAUAAUUUAUAGGGUAACGCAUAAAGUAAGACAAAUCACUUUAACAUCGUUUACGUUCUCUAAAAUUCCAUUAUCAAGAAAUGUUAAUGCUUAUCCAAUUUUUAUGUAUAUAUAUAUGCGUGUAUUUUUCGUAUUUAUAUAAAUAUUUUUAUCAGUAAAUUCACGUUAGUAUACAAAUACGAAUGAACCAAACAGAAAAAUUACGUUGAAACGUUUCUCAUUUGAUUAUUCAAUGAUAUUAAAAAUAUACAUAGAAUUAAAAAAGAUCCAACAUACAGUUGGGCGAAAAAUGCUAUACACAUGACUUAUCAUUUUAGAAGCGAUUUUUCUUUUUUUUAUACAAAUACCAACCACGAAUUUUAUUAUUGAUGUAAUUGAAAUUAAAUACUGUUACAUUAUUGUCACGUUUAAUGAGAUAUCAAAAAAUGUGAAUUUAAAAGAAAAAUAACAGAAAAUUUCUGGUCUUAAAAUUCAUUUCAUUUUUGCAACACGCUACUACGUUAAACUUAUUGAAGAUUUCAUUAGUAGUAUUUCUCUUUAAAAUAAUCUUCUUAAUUCAAAAUAAAAAAAAAAUUAAAAAAAAAAAAGGAAACGAAAAU